CUGGAAAUAUUUGUUUUUUCUAUUUCUUGGUUAUUUUCCUGUCAAUUUUCCAUUUUUACUUAUUUUUAUUCCUAGAAUCUCUAGUCUGUUUGUUUAUUAAAGAACAUUUAUUAAUGUAUAUUUCCUUUUUUCCAUUACAUCAACUAUUCUUCCUUUGGUUGCUAGCUUUUUUUCUCCCUUACAUGUGGCUGUAUCCAGUGUUUAGCUCUUAGUUAUUUUCAUUCUUGUGUUUUAUAACAUUCCAAGGGACCCACCUAGAAAAGGAUUUUUAAUUCCUAUCUCUUAGCUUUUUCCUUAUGUUCCUUUUCUUUGUAUUUGCACACUUAUCAAGCUCACUAUCUGGUGAUCAUCUUAAAUACAACAUGUGAUGCCAUUUCUUAUUCUGUUUGACAAAAAGUUUUCAAUAUGAAUACAGAAACGCUGUAUCAAAAGCACAUAUUGAUGAGUUCAAUGAUGUGUUUUUAUAACUUUUUAUAAGUACAUUUGAAAAUGAUGUCUUAUUCUUUUGAAUUGGGAACAUCAAAAUGCACAUUAAAUUAAUUGCAUUCUUAAAUAUAAUUGGCUCUUUAAAACAGGAUUUCUGUUUCUGUAGUUUAGACCAAUCAUAGAUUAAAACCUGAAUCAUACCGAAAAAACAAGAGCAUGUCUACUAACCUUUAAUCAGACUUUUUGCUUUGUAUUCAUUUUCUAAAUUAUACAGUACAACAACUCUUUAUAUGGCACUUACAUUGUAUUAUACUUUAUAAUUAAUCUAGAAAUGAUAUAUACUCUUGAUUAUAAUGAUUGUGUUGAAAUUAAUAAUUACAAUGAGUUGCUUAUAUGCAAAUAAGACACUUUAUAUAUAUGAAAAUUGAAUGUCAUUACUUAUUGACAACUGCAGGGACUUGGUACUCUGGAACCAAUUUCCUGUACUUUUAUACAGAUUCAGAACAUUAAUACAAAGUUUUGCAAUUAUAGAGUUUCUAACACUACUGAAGAAAUAUUGUUUACUUUUAUAAACAUUUUGCCAAAAAAUAUGUGAAUUCUAUAAAAUUAUUAUUAUUAUUAAUUUUGCCAGUGAACUAUUUUUGCAGUCCAGCAUGAAUUGAUCAUAUCAAGGAAACCAAUGUACUCUGAGUAUUGUGGUAAAGAAAGACAUAAAUAUUGCUUUAACAUGUGUCACUCUUCUAUCAUGGUGAUAGUAAGAUGACAGUAUGCUUCUGUAAGAGCAUUAUCACAGAGUCACCUGCUUUCUGAAUCACCUGUUGACAUGAUUCUUUGAUACUGUAAUGUAUAGGCAAACAGAACUCAUUAAGGUAGUUAUUUCCAGCAUAGUUACUUACCUAGGUGUCUUCUUUUGGAGUCAGAUUUUAACUCAUAAAAUUAGGUCAAUCAUGGCUCAUGUGUUGAUAAUUAAAAACUCCAGAAUCCUUUAACUCAGACAAGGGGAACACAGAUGCGUGAAGAUACAUAGACAAUUGUAUGAAUACAAAAUUCACAAAGUCCUUAUAUAUGGCAUGACCUGUUAUAGAUUGUUUAUAUGUUAUAACUUACUCUGUCCUCACAAUACUCUUAUUAAGACAGCACUAUUGUUAUGAACUUUUGGAAGUUAAGGACACCAAGUCACAAAAAAUGCUAGUAAUUUCCCAGGACUAUAUUGUUACUAAAUGCCAAAGGUAAGAUUUAAAAUCAUAUAAUUUAACGUCAUAUUGAUUCUGUAUGUGCUUUACUGCCUAUGUUAAGCAUGAAUAUUUCAAACAGAAUAGGAUGUCUAACUUAGAUUUUAAAAAUUAUACAAUAUACAAAGAUAUCCCGCUCUAGAUUUCCCUUUGCAAUGGUCUGACUCAUUCAACUGGAUUAUUAUCUUCUAAAGAUGACUAUGUAUACAAAUAUGUACUGCAUACUUCUACGGCUAUGGGGUUUGGUCCUUAUAUUUCACAGGCAUGACUAGUUCUUGCCUGUGACAUUUGUGGCUACUUUUCUGAUAACAUCACCCCAGAUUUGUUUGAGAUUGACAUAUUGACAUCACAAAGAGUAUAACAGCAAACAUGUCUUUACUGGCCUCACAUGUACCUUAAGAUAAUUUAACAGGACACUUCUCUGUGAGUCUGAAUCUUGACUGGAACGGUGCAAAAUUAAAAAUCACCCCUGAGUCUUUUUUUUUUUUUUUUUUUUUUUUUUUUUUUUUUUUUGGAUUUUUGAGACAGGGUUUCUGUGUGUAGCCCUGGCUGUCCUGGAACUCACUCUGUAGACCAGGCUGGCCUCAAACUCAGAAAUCCACCUGCCUCUGCCUCCCAAGUACUGGGAUUAAAGGCGUGCACCACCACUGAGUUUUAUGUCUAUCCCCAACUUCACCAAUUUCUUCUGCAUUCUAGCUCACUCUGACCACCACAUCAGUAAUCCUUUGUUUUGUAUUUCUUUGGCUUUUCUUUUUAUUUUUGUUCAGUUAAUCUAGGUCCUCGGAAUCCCUGCCUUUAUUUUAUUCAGCUGGUCUAAGUGCAGUUGUUGUUUCUAAGGAAAAUAUGGUAAUAUUAUACACAUUGCAAUGUUGCAAUGCCUGUCUCGAAAGGAGAUAUUUUUGAUUGUUCACUGGCUUUAAUGAGGCAAUUUAAUAUGUGUAAGUUUUGAAGUAGACAUUUUUAACAGUUGAAGCCAUAUAGAAAUCCAGCUUUCAUGGUCAUGUUGAUUAUAAUCUUAUGAGGGACCCUUUCAGGUUGUUCCUGACUUCUGCUCAACAAAAUAUUAAGUAAUUUAAUGCAUGUUGUCAUAAACUGUCAGUUGAUGCUAACAUUAUAAAUCCCAACUAGGUAUCUAAUAUAGUGGCUGAAUGUUGUAAUGCACUGACCUAUCAGAAGGAAUGUAGCAUAUAAUAAUUUGUGGUCCUGGAGGUAAACUAUACUAGCGUCAAUGUGUGGUGUGAAAUAUUUAAAAAUGUAAACCAUGCUAUCUCCAGUAAGGCACAGGUGGGUCUUGUUCUUAUCUCGUGGAGACUCUCUCACCCAGAGCUCUGAAAUCUUACCACCCAGCUUGCUAGGUUCCCAAUUUCUGUACUCUCCCCUUUUAACUAUAAAAACAAUUUAAGCUUCCAAAUUCCCACUGCCUUUUGGGGUGCAUUUCUUGCAAACCCAUGCUUUGUCACCAUACCUUUUUCUCUGGAACCCAGUCGAGCUGCCACAUGAAGGGAAACACCACACAAACUUAGUUCAGAAUCAAUGGUAACUCAAUCGUUGGGAGCAACAACUAACAUCCUAAUUUAUAAACCAUUUUUAGUUAUAUCCUCUGGUGGCACAUCCAAACGGAUCCACCACCUGAAACGGGGUCUCUGCUUACUACAUAUUCGCCUUAUCUCUGGCCUCCAGCCCCCUCUGCUCUCCUCUGCUCUCCCUCUCCCCUCUCUCCCCUUUCCCCUCUCCCUUCUCUCCCCCUCUCCCUUCCCUCCCCUCUCCCCUCUCCUCCUCUCCCUUCUUGCUCCCCUUCCCUCUCCCUUCCUGCUCCCCUUCCCUCUCCCCUCCUCUCCCCCCUCCCC
rnacentral:lncRNA from 1 species